CGCAAAUGUUGAUGUGAACUGAAUACGAAGAAGAGAUCAGCCAUUCCAAACUCAGAAGUCUUUAGAUCACUACUCAAUUGCAUCAUUGAAUCAAUCGACAACAGGUACAGCGAGUACAGCGAAUCAACACAUCGGAACCACGGAGAAAAGCGAGGAGGAGAAAGAUAACAACUGUUAACAUUUUGUACUUGUCUUUAACCGAUUCGUGACUACUGCUUCCAACCGUUACAUUUUAUUGCGCGUGACUUUCACUAUCAGCGAAUAUAAAAACAUGUCUACGAGGAUCAUGUACAAGGGAAAGCAUCUAAAGAAAGAAAGCAUUUGAGAUAUCGGCCAAGCAGGAAUAUGGAGCACAGUGUAACAAAUACAACAACAGCCACUAUUCCUCCGAUGAGAGCAUGGUCAGGGCCAUUCUGGCCAGCCAGAGAAUUGGGAUCUGCAAGAGAAUGAAGAACAGUGUUUUAGCUAGUCUGUUACUGUCUCCUGAAGUACAUAUCUGGAACUAGAUGAGCCAUUUUAAAACAGCAUGUUUCUAUUAAAAUGAAUUUGCAUUGAUACAUAUUAUGCCAAUCAUUCAAUCAACAAAUAUUGGUUGUGUGGCUACAGCACACAAAACACCUGGAGGUAUAAGAUUAAACAUGUUAAUGAUUUUUACCAUUGAUUUCACAUUUUAAGGAAAAG
rnacentral:lncRNA from 1 species